ACUCAAAAAGCUUUGAAGUGAAGCCAUUAAAGCUAAGGUCCAUCACUGCAAGUGAAGUGAAAUUCACAAAUUGAAGGGAUGAAAUGGGAUCAGGCAAGCCACAAUUAUAUAAGGGUUUGUCUGAAUGUAACCGAGUUGUCUUCUCCGCGGGUUUCUCUCGUCUCAGGUUUCAUAGCGAAAAUUUCUUCCCCACUUUUUCUCUCAUUUACAAUGAAGCGAUAGAUCGUUUGAUUCAGCCUUGCAUCCUUGUACUAUACUGGCUGAUCGUCCCAAGCAAUUUGCAGCUUCCGACCUCCAUAUGCUGUUAAUAUUUCCCACCGGUGGAUUUGAAGAAGGCGGGGAACAUCUUCCCUAAUCACAAAUAGGUAUGGUCGAUCGUCCCUAGCAAGUUGCAGCUCCAACCUCCAUUUACCCUAAAAACAACCCGAGAAACGAAAGAGGAAGGAAGAGUUUGCAACUGCAGCGCUUCACCCACCGAUCUCGCCGGAGAACGAUCAAGCAUCAAACUUCUUUUUGCUUCGACGGGUAAUUUUUAUUGGGUACUUCAUUUUUUUCAUGUUGGUUAUAAAGAUUCAUUGCUUGAAAAAUCUGAGAGGCGGAGAGAGAGACGGUUUUUGAUCGGUGACGACUUGGGGAUCUUGCGGUAGCUGAUAAUCAUGAGCAAAAGGAGGAGGAGAAUCAUGGAGGAUCGUAGAGGUUAAGAGCUGGGAGUGGGAGUCAUUAUGGAGGUUCCAAGUUUAGAAGGGGCCAGUUGCUUGUCGAUGGAAGAAAGAGCACAGACGGUGGUCUAAUGUGGGUAAAGAAGGGAGAGAUCUCCAAUGGCAAUGAUAUUCUCAUUCAAGAAGCUAAAGGCAAAACCAAUCGUGGUUCGCGAAUUCAUGCCUGACGUCCUUGUUCCUCUCAGGCGUUCUGAUUUAGCCUGAUCCUGUGAGAAAGAGGGGAAACGCAAAUGCUCCAUGUUCCAUCCAUGGCAUUUCUCAUUUCGCAUUUCGCAUUUGGCUUUUGGCAUUUGGCAUUUGGCAUUUGGCAUUUGGCAUUUGGCAUUUGAACUGGUUGGUUGUCGUCUCCUUCGUCAUGAUAAGGAAAGAAUGGAGGAGGAACAGAAGAAGAAAGUUGCUAAAUCUGUAGGGUAGGGUAGGGUUUCCAACCUCAGGUCCUCCGCUUGAUUUCACAGGCUCUUUUGUUGUCAUACUACUGCCUUUGGUAAUGCAUUAUGCAUUAUGUGGUGGAGGAGUUUACUGUGUUUGGUGUACUAUGGUGUGUGGAAGACCAUCUUAACAAUUUCCCAAUGGUUCUUCUUGUGCAGAUGGGGAGCCAGAGUUGGUCAACAUAUUGGUGGGAAAUAAUUAAAGUAGUAUAUAUGCCACAACUUUUGUAAUAAAAAGUGUCCCAGUUAUUGUGGCUUUACAAAUAAAAUAAAAAUCCAGUCCAUUUGGUCAUUGUUGCAA